GGCGGUGUAGCUCAGGUGGUUAGAGCGCACGACUCAUAAUCGUGUUGCCGGUGGUUCGAGUCCACCCACCGCCA
rnacentral:tRNA from 1 species